GGAUUAGAUACCCUGGUAGUCCACGCCGUAAACGAUGAACACUAGGUGUCUGGGGUCGAACCUAGGUGCCGCAGCUAACGCAUUAAGUGUUCCGCCUGGGGAGUACGCACGCAAGUGUGAAACUCAAAGGAAUUGACGGGGACCCGCACAAGCAGCGGAGCAUGUGGUUUAAUUCGAAGCAACGCGAAGAACCUUACCAGGUCUUGACAUGCAGAUGACCGGUCCUUAAUCGGGCCUUCUCUUCGGAGCAUCUGACACAGGUGGUGCAUGGUUGUCGUCAGCUCGUGCCG
rnacentral:rRNA from 1 species